CUGGCUCUGUCAGGGUCCGAGUUGUAAUUUGUAGAAGAUGCUUCGGGUGAGGCUCUGGUCUAAGUUCCUUGGAACAGGACGUCAUAGAGGGUGAGAAUCCCGUAUGUGACUGGCCGCCUUCGCCUAUGUGAAGCUCUUUCGAC
rnacentral:rRNA from 1 species